AAGGGCGUGCUAAUCUGCGAUAAGCGCCGGUAAGGUGAUAUGAACCGUUAUAACCGGCGAUACCCGAAUGGGGAAACCCAGUGUGACUCGUCACACUAUCAUUAACUGAAUCCAUAGGUUAAUGAGGCGAACCGGGGGAACUGAAACAUCUAAGUACCCCGAGGAAAAGAAAUCAACCGAGAUUCCCCCAGUAGCGGCGAGCGAACGGGGAGGAGCCCAGAGCCUGAAUCAGCAUGUGUGUUAGUGGAAGCGUCUGGAAAGGCGCGCGAUACAGGGUGACAGCCCCGUACACAAAAGCGCAUGUGCUGUGAGCUCGAUGAGUAGGGCGGGACACGUGGUAUCCUGUCUGAAUAUGGGGGGACCAUCCUCCAAGGCUAAAUACUCCUGACUGACCGAUAGUGAACCAGUACCGUGAGGGAAAGGCGAAAAGAACCCCGGCGAGGGGAGUGAAAAAGAACCUGAAACCGUGUACGUACAAGCAGUGGGAGCCCCACCACUAAGCCAGUGGUGAACUCCACAUACGCAUCCUUUGCUGAGGAUACGGUUAACGGAGCGAAAGCGACGUUCAACCGCAAAAGAAGCAGAGGGGGCUUAGUGGUGGGGUG
rnacentral:rRNA from 1 species